AGAGUUUGAUCCUGGCUCAGGACGAACGCUGGCGGCGUGCUUAACACAUGCAAGUCGAGCGGGGGCUUCGGCCCCAGCGGCGAACGGGUGAGUAACACGUGGGCAACCUGCCCCGAGCGCUGGGAUAACCCCGGGAAACCGGGGCUAAUACCGGAUAUGACCGCGACAGGCAUCUGUCACGGUGGAAAGGUUUUUCUGGCUCGGGAUGGGCCCGCGGCCUAUCAGCUAGUUGGUGGGGUAGUGGCCUACCAAGGCGACGACGGGUAGCCGGCCUGAGAGGGCGACCGGCCACACUGGGACUGAGACACGGCCCAGACUCCUACGGGAGGCAGCAGUGGGGAAUAUUGCGCAAUGGGCGAAAGCCUGACGCAGCGACGCCGCGUGAGGGAUGAAGGCCUUCGGGUUGUAAACCUCUUUCAGCAGGGACGAAGCGAAAGUGACGGUACCUGCAGAAGAAGCACCGGCCAACUACGUGCCAGCAGCCGCGGUAAUACGUAGGGUGCAAGCGUUGUCCGGAAUUAUUGGGCGUAAAGAGCUCGUAGGCGGCUUGUCACGUCGGCUGUGAAAACCCGAGGCUCAACCUCGGGCCUGCAGUCGAUACGGGCAGGCUAGAGUCCGGUAGGGGAGACUGGAAUUCCUGGUGUAGCGGUGAAAUGCGCAGAUAUCAGGAGGAACACCGGUGGCGAAGGCGGGUCUCUGGGCCGGAACUGACGCUGAGGAGCGAAAGCGUGGGGAGCGAACAGGAUUAGAUACCCUGGUAGUCCACGCCGUAAACGUUGGGCGCUAGGUGUGGGGGGUUUUCUACACCCUCCGGUGCCCGCAGCUAACGCAUUAAGCGCCCCCGCCUGGGGGAGUACGGCCGCAAGGCUAAAACUCAAAAGGAAUUUGAC
rnacentral:rRNA from 1 species